UACGGGGGGGGCAAGCGUUGUUCGGAAUUACUGGGCGUAAAGGGCUCGUAGGCGGCCAACUAAGUCAGACGUGAAAUCCCUCGGCUUAACCGGGGAACUGCGUCUGAUACUGGAUGGCUUGAGUUUGGGAGAGGGAUGCGGAAUUCCAGGUGUAGCGGUGAAAUGCGCAGAUAUCGGGAGGAACACCGGCGGCGAAGGCGGCACUCUGGGCUGGUACUGACGCUGAGGAGCGAAAGCGUGGGGAGCAAACAGG
rnacentral:rRNA from 1 species